AGUAGGGAAUUUUCGGCAAUGGGGGAAACCCUGACCGAGCAACGCCGCGUGAGUGAAGACGGCCUUAGGGUUGUAAAGCUCUGUUGUAAGGGAAGAACAAUAAGAAGAGGGAAUGCUUCUUAUAUGACGGUACCUUACCAGAAAGCCACGGCUAACUACGUGCCAGCAGCCGCGGUAAUACGUAGGUGGCAAGCGUUAUCCGGAAUUAUUGGGCGUAAAGGGAGCGCAGGCGGUUUAUCAAGUUUAUGGUUAAAGUUCGGGGCUUAACCCCGUGAUGCCAUAGAAACUGGUAGACUAGAGUGCAGGAGAGGUUAGUGGAAUUCCAUGUGUAGCGGUAAAAUGCGUAGAUAUAUGGAGGAACACCAGUGGCGAAGGCGGCUAACUGGCCUGUAACUGACGCUGAGGCUCGAAAGCGUGGGGAGCAAAUAGGAUUAGAUACCCUAGUAGUCCACGCCGUAAACGAUGGAUACUAAGUGUUGGAGAAAUUCAGUGCUGUAGUUAACGCAAUAAGUAUCCCGCCUGGGGAGUAUGCGCGCAAGCGUAAAACUCAAA
rnacentral:rRNA from 1 species